GGGAGGGUCGCUGGAGCCUGGGAGUCCCAGGCUGCAGUGAGCUGUCAUCACCACUGCACUCCAGUCUGGGCGCUCUGUCUCAAACAUUUUUUUUUAAUAUAGUAAAUGAAAAAGAUGCCACGCAUUUCUCGUAACCACGGUUAAUUUCUAGUCUUACACUCUUUUAUUGCAGAAAUGGAAUCGUACUGCGCUAUGAGCUUUUUUGUACAUGGUUUUUUCCCUCUUAACACGAUUUCAAGAACAUGUCUCCAGUUAAUAUUCAUGUACAAAAUUGUUUGCUGUGCCACGUUUUCCUUAGACUGCCCUAGGGUGCUUAUCCUGGGCACUUAGCGGUGCAUUAGAAACCCACGGGGAGGCGUUGCAAAUACCUGGUCCCACCCCCAGAGAUGCUGAUUCAGGUAUUAAUAAACCCCGCCUCUUCAGGUGAGGCUGAGGUGUAGUCUGGGCUGAGAACCACCAGGUGGCAUUUCCCAGACUUGCCCGUCCCUAAACCUACAGAAACGUGCAUGUAUUUCACCAGUGAUUACCACCAGCGAUUCUUAAUUAUCUAGUUAAGCGCCACCUCAAUUCUUUUUUAAAACGUAUUUUUAUUUUAUGUGUUUUUGGGGAGAAAUUUUUUUUUUUUUUCAUCUUUUUAAAACUUGUAUUUCAGUAGUUUUGGGGGUACAGGUGGUUUUUGGUUACAUGGAUAAGUUUUGAGUAGUGAUUUCCGAGAUUUUCGUGCACCCGUCACCAGAGCAGUGUACACUGUACCUGUCAGGCCUCUGAGCCCAACCCUUCACAUAUACAUCCAGAUGGCCUGAAGUAACUGAAGAAUCACAAAAGAAGUGAAAAUGGCCGGUUCCUGCCUUAACUGAUGACAUUAUCUUGUGAAAUCCCUUCUCCUGGCUCAGAAGCUCCCCCACUGAGCACCUUAUGGCCCCCACCCCUGCCGGCCAGAGAACAACCCGCUUUGACUGUAAUUUUCCACUACUUUUAUUGCUCACACAGCUUGUUUGGUGGUCUCUUCACGGACGCGCGUGACAAUAUCCAAAAUGUAGUUUUUUAUCCCUCACACCCGUCCCACGUAUCCCCCUCCGCCCCUGCGGACUCCUCAAAGUCCAUUAUAUCAUUCUUAUGUCUUUGCAUCCUCAUAGCUUAGCUCCCACUUACAAGUGAGAAGUGUAGUAUUUGGUUUGCCACCUCAAUUCUUAAGAAAAAUUUAAGGAAGAGAAAUUGCUGGGUGAACAGGUGUGAUAUCUACUGAAUUUUAAAGGCUUCUUCAAUUUACUGCUAAAUUGACCUUCAGAAAGAUCCUUUCAAUUAACGUUCCUAACAGCAGCAGAUAUAAUGUGGUAACCUGAGGAACUGAUUCAAAUUAGCUCAAAAGUACUCUCAUUAAUUUUUUAUUAUAGGGGCUGGACAUGGUGGCUCACGCCUGUAAUCCCAGCAUUUUGGGAGACCGAGAUGGGUGGAUCACUUGAGGCCAGGAGUUUGAGACCAGCCUGGCCAUGGUGAAACCCUGUCUCUACUAAAAAUACAAAAAUAAGCUGGGCAUGGCGGCUCCUGCCUGUAAUCCCAGCUACUUGGGAGGAUGAGGCAGAAGAAUGGUUUGAACCUGGGAGGCGGAGGUUGCAGUGAGCCAAGAUCUCACCACUGCUCCGUAGCCUGGGCGACAGAGCAAGACUGUCUCAAAAAAAAAAAAAA
ensembl:lncRNA